rnacentral:rRNA from 1 species
GAUGAACGCUAGCGGCAGGCUUAACACAUGCAAGUCGAGGGGUAUUGGUUUUCGGACCAAGAGACCGGCGCACGGGUGCGUAACGCGUAUGCAAUCUACCUUUCACAGAGGGAUAGCCCAGAGAAAUUUGGAUUAAUACCUCCUAGUAUUAAGAAUCGGCAUCGGUUUUUAAUUAAAGUCACAACGGUGAAAGAUGAGCAUGCGUCCCAUUAGCUAGUUGGUAAGGUAACGGCUUACCAAGGCUACGAUGGGUAGGGGUCCUGAGAGGGAGAUCCCCCACACUGGUACUGAGACACGGACCAGACUCCUACGGGAGGCAGCAGUGAGGAAUAUUGGACAAUGGCGCAAGCCUGAUCCAGCCAUGCCGCGUGCAGGAUGACGGUCCUAUGGAUUGUAAACUGCUUUUGUACAGGAAGAAACACUCCUACGUGUAGGAGCUUGACGGUACUGUAAGAAUAAGGAUCGGCUAACUCCGUGCCAGCCGCCGCCGUAACAC